ACGUCCAACUAUAUAUUCGGGGGCAAGACCCGCGGUGCAGGGAAGCCGGUGUGAUUCCGGCGCGGUCCCGCCACUGUGACCGGGGAGUACGCCGUCGAGCAGGACGCCACUGACGAGCUGGAUGUCGGGAAGGCGGACGGCGCGCGCUGAUCCGGGAGUCAGGAUACCGGCCGUGGGAUGUUCCGUGUUG
rnacentral:ncRNA from 16 species